rnacentral:sRNA from 1 species
GGAUAAUACUUUGUCAUGCAGUCACUUUUUGCACCUUUCAAUUUUCAGUUUUAUAAUAUCAAACUGACUGAUCUUGUGCAUUGUAUUACACUUAUAUCUUGAAUUUAUUAAUUAUCCGGAAUAAAUCGCACCGUUUGUUCGAAGAAAGUCCACAUUUUGCAUGAUGUUUUUUCUAAUUUGUCAAUUAUAUAACAGUCAUGCUGCUGGACAUGGAUGCUUUUGUGAACAAAAUUAAUUUCAUAUUAUACAAUGCAUGUAGAUAUAUUACAAUGUGUCCUGUUUUUUUCUGCGUGGUAAAAUUUACGAAAAUACGGAAAGUAUAUACAUGUAACCUUUUUCAUUUACGUUUGUAUUUUUUAAUUUUUAAAAGUCAAUAUAGUAAAAGAUACCGGAAAAAGAGGAAAGUUAUUUCAAUGCAAGGCCACCGGAUAUACGUUACAUAAUAUUAUGUAAAUAAAAUCUUUAUCUAUAAUUCU